GGGCGUAAAGCGCGCGUAGGUGGCCAAUUAAGUCAAAUGUGAAAUCCCCGAGCUUAACUUGGGAAUUGCAUUCGAUACUGGUUGGCUAGAGUAUGGGAGAGGAUGGUAGAAUUCCAGGUGUAGCGGUGAAAUGCGUAGAGAUCUGGAGGAAUACCGAUGGCGAAGGCAGCCAUCUGGCCUAAUACUGACACUGAGGUGCGAAAGCAUGGGGAGCAAACAGGAUUAGAUACCCUGGUAGUCCAUGCCGUAAACGAUGUCUACUAGCCGUUGGGGCCUUUGAGGCUUUAGUGGCGCAGCUAACGCGAUAAGUAGACCGCCUGGGGAGUACGGUCGCAAGACUAAAACUCAAAUGAAUUGACGGGGGCCCGCACAAGCGGUGGAGCAUGUGGUUUAAUUCGAUGCAACGCGAAGAACCUUACCUGGUCUUGACAUAGUAAGAACUUUCCAGAGAUGGAUUGGUGCCUUCGGGAACUUACAUACAGGUGCUGCAUGGCUGUCGUCAGCUCGUGUCGUGAGAUGUUGGGUUAAGUCCCGCAACGAGCGCAACCCUUUUCCUUAUUUGCCAGCGGGUUAAGCCGGGAACUUUAAGGAUACUGCCAGUGACAAACUGGAGGAAGGCGGGGACGACGUCAAGUCAUCAUGGCCCUUACGACCAGGGCUACACACGUGCUACAAUGGUCGGUACAAAGGGUUGCUACCUAGCGAUAGGAUGCUAAUCUCAAAAAGCCGAUCGUAGUCCGGAUUGGAGUCUGCAACUCGACUCCAUGAAGUCGGAAUCGCUAGUAAUC
rnacentral:rRNA from 1 species